rnacentral:rRNA from 1 species
AAGAGAUCGGGAUAACACCUGGAAACAAGAUGCUAAUACCGGAUAACAACAGAUGAUGCCUAUCAACUGUUUAAAAGAUGGUUCUGCUAUCACUCUUGGAUGGACCUGCGGUGCAUUAGCUAGUUGGUAGGGUAACGGCCUACCAAGGCGAUGAUGCAUAGCCGAGUUGAGAGACUGAUCGGCCACAUUGGGACUGAGACACGGCCCAAACUCCUACGGGAGGCAGCAGGC